GACGAACGCUGGCGGCGUGCCUAAUACAUGCAAGUCGAGCGGACAGAAGGGAGCUUGCUCCCGGAAGUUAGCGGCGGGCGGGUGAGUAACACGUGGGCAACCUACCCUGUAGAUCGGGAUAACAUCGAGAAAUCGGUGCUAAUACCGGAUAAUCAUCUGAAGUGCAUGCUUCGAAUGUAAAAGAUGGCUCCGGCUAUCACUACGGGAUGGGCCCGCGGCGCAUUAGCUAGUUGGUAAGGUAAUGGCUUACCAAGGCAACGAUGCGUAGCCGACCUGAGAGGGUGAUCGGCCACACUGGGACUGAGACACGGCCCAGACUCCUACGGGAGGCAGCAGUAGGGAAUCUUCCGCAAUGGACGAAAGUCUGACGGAGCAACGCCGCGUGAGUGAUGAAGGUUUUCGGAUCGUAAAGCUCUGUUGUUAGGGAAGAACAAGUGCCGUUUGAAUAAGGCGGCACCUUGACGGUACCUAACCAGAAAGCCACGGCUAACUACGUGCCAGCCGCCGCUGUAAAAC
rnacentral:rRNA from 1 species